UAAGAGUUAACCUCUUGUAGUCUGGUCUC
rnacentral:piRNA from 1 species